GCCGCAGUGGCGAAAUCGGCAAACGCGGGGCGCUUAAAACGCUCUGCCCGAAAGGGUCUGGGGGUUCGAGUCCCUCCUGCGGCACCC
rnacentral:tRNA from 1 species